GCUUCGUUUGGUGCUGGAUUCGUCCGUUUGGCAACUCUGCCGGCGAUUUGUUCUUUAAAUUUUAUUUUAGAUGGUCUUAUGCUUAAACUUUUAAUGGUGAUUUAUAAUAUUUCCUAGAGUUUUUUUCUCUUUUAAGGACCUUUGGUGAAAAAAGUUCAAUAACUUAAUUUUUGAAUGCCUGCUAUGGAGCUGGUAGUGUAAGAGGAUCUCGGUGCUUACGGUCUGGGAAGGCAGAUACGGACAACCAAAACCGGAGACAAUCUAUGAGGAAGAUAAGAAAACAGAAGCAAAGAGGUUAAGCAGGGGGACACCCAUCUACUUCCUGUCCGUGGCUUCUGGAACCAGAGGGUGUGAGGAGCAUGUCCUGGUGGGGG